rnacentral:rRNA from 1 species
UACGUAGGGGGCAAGCGUUGUCCGGAUUUAUUGGGCGUAAAGAGCGUGUAGGCGGCUUUACAGGUCCGUUGUGAAAACUCGAGGCUCAACCUCGAGACGCCGGUGGAAACCGUAAGGCUAGAGUCCGGAAGAGGAGAGUGGAAUUCCUGGUGUAGCGGUGAAAUGCGCAGAUAUCAGGAGGAACACCAAUAGCGAAGGCAGCUCGCUGGGACGUUACUGACACUGAGGCGCGAAAGCGUGGGGAGCGAACAGG